rnacentral:rRNA from 1 species
UCGACGGGCUCAUAUUGAACCUAGUGAUGUAUGAGUUAGUGGCGGACGGGUGAGUAACGCGUGGAGAACCUGCCGUAUACUGGGGGAUAACACUUAGAAAUAGGUGCUAAUACCGCAUAAGCGCACAGCUUCGCAUGAAGCAGUGUGAAAAACUCCGGUGGUAUACGAUGGAUCCGCGUCUGAUUAGCUGGUUGGCGGGGUAACAGCCCACCAAGGCGACGAUCAGUAGCCGGCCUGAGAGGGUGAACGGCCACAUUGGGACUGAGACACGGCCCAAACUCCUACGGGAGGCAGCAGUGGGGAAUAUUGCACAAUGGGGGAAACCCUGAUGCAGCGACGCCGCGUGAGUGAAGAAGUAUUUCGGUAUGUAAAGCUCUAUCAGCAGGGAAGAAAAUGACGGUACCUGACUAAGAAGCCCCGGCUAACUACGUGCCAGCAGCCGCGGUAAUACGUAGGGGGCAAGCGUUAUCCGGAUUUACUGGGUGUAAAGGGAGCGUAGACGGCAGCGCAAGUCUGAAGUGAAAUCCCAUGGCUUAACCAUGGAACUGCUUUGGAAACUGUGCAGCUGGAGUGCAGGAGAGGUAAGCGGAAUUCCUAGUGUAGCGGUGAAAUGCGUAGAUAUUAGGAGGAACACCAGUGGCGAAGGCGGCUUACUGGACUGUAACUGACGUUGAGGCUCGAAAGCGUGGGGAGCAAACAGGAUUAGAUACCCUGGUAGUCCACGCCGUAAACGAUGAUUACUAGGUGUUGGGGGACCAAGGUCCUUCGGUGCCGGCGCAAACGCAUUAAGUAAUCCACCUGGGGAGUACGUUCGCAAG